UUUUUCGCCAGGGAACUACGAGCCUCAGCUUAAAACCCAAAGGACUUGGCGGUGCUUUAGACCCCCCUAGAGGAGCCUGUCCUAGAACCGAUGAUCCCCGUUUAACCUCACCCCCUCUUGUUUUUCCCGCCUGUAUACCUCCGUCUUCAGCUCACCCCGUGAGGGCCUAGUAGUGAGCGGAAUUGGCACUGCCUAAAACGCCAGGUCGAGGUGCAGCUUAUGAGGGGGGAAGAGAUGGGCUACAUUUUCUGCCCCAGAAAAUACGGAUUUUGCCCUGAAAAAGCAUCUGAAGGUGGAUUUAGCAGUAAGGAGAAAUUAGAGCGUUCUCCUGAAGCCGGCCCUGAAGCGCGC
rnacentral:rRNA from 1 species